rnacentral:rRNA from 1 species
AACGAACGCUGGCGGCGCGCCUAAUACAUGCAAGUCGAACGAGAAGCUGUAGCAAUACAGUUGUACAGUGGCGAACGGGUGAGGAAUACAUGGGUGACCUACCCUCGAGUGGGGAAUAACCAGCCGAAAGGUUGGCUAAUACCGCGUACGCUUCCCAGUCUACGGGUUGGGAAGGAAAGCGAUGCCGUGGGUAUCGCGCUCAAGGUUGGGCUCAUGUCCUAUCAGCUUGNGGUGGGGUAACGGCUCACCAAGGCAACGACGGGUAGCUGGUCUGAGAGGACGAUCAGCCACACUGGCACUGCGACACGGGCCAGACUCCUACGGGAGGCAGCAGUAAGGAAUAUUGCGCAAUGGGCGAAAGCCUGACGCAGCGACGCCGCGGUGGGGGAGU